ensembl:lncRNA
UUCCUUUGGAUAAAUAUCAAGGAAUGCAAUUCCUGGAUUUAUGAAAAAGAGGCCUUUCAGGCUCCAGUUAUCUGGUUGUGGCCAUUGGUGGCCCAUAUGUAUUUGCCAAAAAGACACCACAAGCAACAACGCUGCAGAGAAUAAAUCCGUGGAAUGUUCAAGGCUAUGUUUUAUGGUAAUAUGUUUAGUCUAUAUUGGAUUGUAUGUUAUCUUUUCAAGAUGAUUGCAAUCUUAUUAAAAUGAUAAUUUAGCAGUGAAAUUUUACAAAUGCAAACUAGCUAAAUGGACCACUUUUGAAUAUGGCAUGCACAAUGUUGCUAUACAAUUUUUACAGGUCCUAUUUGAAAAGUAUUAUAUGUGAAGACUAAACUAUGCAAAUUGUGCUAACACUAUUAUCAUUUUAUAUCUCAUAUUUUUAUUAAUCAAACUUGCUAUUUUGAAUCAAAAUCAUUACUGUUUCAAGGUAUCUGCUGUUAACUGAAAUUUAGUAAAGGCAUUAAAAAAGUAAGAUAGCCUCUUAAGCUAUAUACAAUUAUUUGUUGAUUAUUAAUUGGCUCAUGAUUAAUUUUUCUAGAAGCAUAAUAAUGAAACCAGGAUUCUGAGUUUAUUUUUUUUAUUUGUGAGAAAGGUUCAUAUUGGGUUAACAAAAGGUAACUACAUUUUAGAGCUAUAAAAUUAUUUCAACAGGACUAUUAAUCAUCCUCAAAAUAAAACAGAUAAAGUUUACUGCUAGUAACAGCUUGGUUUGUAAUUAUCACAUGGGAACAUUUUUCCUAAACCCUGAUUUCGAUAGAUACUGGUUUAAUUUAUCAAAAUUUCUCAUAUUUGUAUUUUCAGGUAAGGCAUUGAGUUAUUACUGAAACACAAUGGUGUCUGAGUUCUUAUGUAUUACAAACUGAAUGAACAGAUGGAACCAAAAUUAUAUCUCAUUCUAGUGAAAAUGACAACAACAUUUCUUUCUUUAAUAACAUCCCAGGGGAGGCACAAACUGAUUUGUACUCUGUUCUAUAUUUAUAUAGUUAAUUAAUCCAAAGAAGCAUUUAUUAACUUUAAUUUUUUAGUCUGUUUAAUUUUUUAAAUUCCCUCUUAUGAUUGCAUAUUACUUAGCAGACAAGAGGAAAAGAAGUUGAUGUGGGAACUAAACUUUACUUAAUAAGGGCCUGUAUUAACAUAUUUCCAACUAUGGAAACCUAUAGCUUCUUUUUCUCCCUUUCUUUGUUCCUCACUCUCCUCCUCCCUCCUUUUCUCUUUAUAUAUAGAUAUAUAUAUAUAAGGGAGAGGACAGUUGAAAUAAAAUGAAAUUGGAUGUUGUGUUAGUUUCCUAUUGCUGCUCUAUCAAAUCACCACAACUGUAAUGGCUUAAAACAAAGCAAAUUCAUUUUCUUACAGUUCUGGAGGCCAGAUCUCCAAAAUGGGUCUUACUGGGCUAAAAUCAAGGUGUCAACAGGGAUAUCUUCUUUUCUGGAGGCUCUGGGGGAAAGGUUUUUACUUGACUUUUAAUGUAAUAUUAAGAUGAGACUACAAAAUGGAAUUAACUGUUUGAAUGACAAUUACAUUUAAUACCUUGCCUUAAAGCUAUCCUUUUACCAAAGGUCAUGAUUAGAUAAGGGUUAAGAUUCAAAGGUUGUACAUUUGUACUAUGGUUUCAGAUUCAGAACCUUUUCAGAUUUAACCCAUUAAUAAGGCUUACAAUACAAGUUAUCUUAUCUCAAGUUAUUGAUAAUAGAAUAGAAACCAGGUGAAUCUACUGAACCAUAUUCUUCCUGCAACCAGAUAUUCUGUAAAUAUCUUACUGCUUGCAUUCUUUAUAGAUGGUGACCUGAAAAGUCACAUAUGAUGAGAGCAUAGCAGGAGUAGUAACCUUGUCAUUUUCCUCAAACUUUCAGCCAAUAGCUUCUGGAUAUCAGCAGUCGAGUCAACAGAUAGAAGAAAAUGUGAUUCUCUUAAAAUUCUAUGACCUCAGUAGAGUGCAAAAGUAAUGAAUGCAUUCCUCAAGAGAGGUUAUGUGAUCGAAGUAGCAGCAAGUUCAAAUUUGUCUGGCAGCUCUGGAUAAGAGAAAGUUAUUCUGAUUCUAUACCUAAAUGAAUUUAUUUGUUGUCUGUUUGUAAAUGUAGUACAUAUAACGAGCCACAUGUACAUGACAGUUGGUACAUAGAUUUGAUAGAGGUUUCAUACUUUGGUAUACUUUAGUGAAUUAUAUCAAUCACUCUAACAUCUAGAAAUUUAAAGAUUUGCAAACAUGUAUUUUAAGAAUAAAAUACAAGAAGGCAGCAUUGAAUGGUGGUUAAAAAGAACUGACUCUGGAUUCAGACUGCUUAUUUUAAAUCUAGUUCCACCAGUUACUCAUGAUUAUUUUGCCUCUUUAUACCUCAGAUUCUCCACCUGCCAAGUGGACAUACUAAUAGUUCUUAUUUUAUAGGGUUACUAUGAGG